UACGGAGGGUGCAAACGUUGCUCGGAAUCAUUGGGCGUAAAGCGCACGUAGGCGGCCUGUUAAGUCGGGUGUGAAAGCCCUGGGCUCAACCCAGGAAGUGCACUCGAAACUGGCGGGGCUUGAAUAUGGAAGAGGGUCGCGGAAUUCCCGGUGUAGAGGUGAAAUUCGUAGAUAUCGGGAGGAACACCAGUGGCGAAGGCGGCGACCUGGGCCAAUAUUGACGCUGAGGUGCGAAAGCGUGGGGAGCAAACAGG
rnacentral:rRNA from 1 species